GCCGGGAUGGCGGAACAGGCAGACGCAGCGGACUUAAAAUCCGCCGGAGUAACAUCCGUGUGGGUUCGACCCCCUCUCCCGGCACCA
rnacentral:tRNA from 1 species